CCGCCGUGCACUGCUCCCGUGGACAGCACGCCUCUGGCCGCCCUCCGCCGCGAUAAGACCACCCCAAGGUACGAUAGAUGAACCACGUGAAUGACGUGAUAUUGGAACCGAACACGAAGACGAUGUUUGGUGGACAUAUCCAGAAGAGGCAAAGAACCAGGAGUACAUGCUUGGACCGGAAUACUCGCCAAGCGAGUGUCAUCUAACAAACACUGACCUAGUGUUAAUCCCAGG